rnacentral:rRNA from 1 species
AGGUAGCGUAAUAAAUAGCCUCUUAAUUGGAGGCCAGUGAAUGGCAAGACUAGGGAUACCUGUACCCUGUAUAGAAAAACAACUUUUCAUCUGAGUGAAAAGACUCAGAUAAUAAAGGAAGACGAAAAGACCCCGCGGAACUUUACCUUUUCCAGUUCCACAAGUGCCUAGAAACACAAAAAACAAAAGGUUUGAUUGGGGCAAUCUCGGAACCACCCAAACUUCCGACUUAUAUUACGAGCCAUACAAAACUUAAUAAGGACCAAAAAGAAGUUACCCCGGGGAUAACAGCGUAAUCCAACUGAGAGUACACAUCGAAA